rnacentral:rRNA from 1 species
CCGGAAUUGCUAGUAAUGGCAGGUCAGCAUACUGCCGUGAAUACGUUCCCGGGCCUUGUACACACCGCCCGUCACACCAUGAGAGUUGGGAAUACCCGGAGCCUGUGAGCUAACUUUUAGAGGCAGCAGUCGAAGGUAGAAUCAAUGAUUGGGGUGAAGUCGUAACAAGGUACC